GGGGAAGAGGCGGGGAUCCGCCUUUUGGUGGGCCCAGACGUGAUUUUUAGCCCAAAACUCCAUUUUUCCCCUCUUUUCUCAUAUCUAACAUCACACACACCCACUCCAUCUUCCCCAACACUCCAAUUCCAAACCCUAGCCUCCAUUCUCUACCAUUUUUCUCUCUUCCACACACAAGAACAACACCAAAAUCAAAGAAAGAAGGGGAAGACUUGGAAAGGAGCUCAUCAAGACUACAUGAUUGAAGAUCAAGAUUAUAGGAUUUGUCUAUGAAUCUCUAUCUCUCUAUAUCUUUAUUUAUGUUUUCUUAUGACUUGGGAUUUGUUUUUAUUAUGAAUAUGCUUGGCUAAAAUCCCUUAUCUUAGGGAUUAGAUUAGAUGGAUUUGUAAUGGAUUGAUUUCUUUGUUUAAUAUUUAUAUCUUGAUUGUGC
rnacentral:lncRNA from 1 species